rnacentral:lncRNA from 1 species
CGGGAAGGAAAGAUGCCCACCCAAGGUCAUAUGGGUUCAAACUUUAAACCUGAGUCAUUAUUAUUGGCACAUAAAGGACUAUUUUUACAUUUGCAGGAUGUGUUAACUGUAUCAGAACCUCCAGAGCCAGAGUUAGAGGCAGUUGUAGGCUCUCUGAAGUAAGUCAGACAACCCUUGCCUGACUUAAUGCCUGUCAAAGUGGCUACCCUUGAAAACUCCAGCACCACACUCAUCACAAGGCCGUUCUCGACGUAGCAGCUCUGAGAGAAAAGGUAUCCUGGCAGUCGGGAGCCAAGAAAUACUACCAAGUCACACCACACAACAAACCUCACACAAGAGGUUUAUGGGGAAAGACACCUGAGGGUGCCCACCGCGGCUCUGAGAGAAGCAACAAACAACUAAGCAAGAGGCAGGCUUUAUGGUGAAGCUUGGCUGCCUGCAUCUUGAGGGACUAGAAAUGGCCAUUAUGGCCCUUUAGAGCAGCGGGGGUGGGGUUGGGGAGCUGGGACCAGCCAUUCUAGCCCCAGGGGGGUAGGACCUGGUUUCUACCUCAAACGCCUCAUUUAUGAAGAAAGCAGAGUCAGUUGCUCCCCAGACUGCCCAGGAGACACUGGAUGACGCGUGCCUGGACUCCAGAUGUGAGAGGCUCCGGGAAGAGAUUGUGGUUUGAAGCUCAGGCGAGAAAGCUGACAGGAGAAGGAAGCAGUCUGGACCCUGAGGUGAAGUCAGUGGAAGGCCAGUGAGGGCUUUCAUCUAAUACGGAGCAGCUUGAGGGAAUGAGGGGACAGAGACGGUUGCAGGGAGCGCAAGUUCCUGCCCAGGACCCCAGGAGAAGAGGAGCAGAGGCUCCAGCUGUUACAGCCGGAUU